rnacentral:rRNA from 1 species
UACGGGGGGGGGCAAGCGUUGUUCGGAAUUACUGGGCGUAAAGGGCGCGUAGGCGGUUUGCUAAGUUGGAUGUGAAAACUCUGGGCUUAACCCAGAGCCUGCAUCCAAAACUGGCAAACUUGAGUACUGGAGGGGAAAGCGGAAUUCCUGGUGUAGCGGUGAAAUGACGUAGAUAUCAGGAGGAACACCGGUGGCGAAGGCGGCUUUCUGGACAGUAACUGACGCUGGAGGCGCGAAAGCCGUGGGGAGCAAACAGG